GGGUGUUCUGUUCCAACACGAAAUUAAUUUGUCCGUUUUAGCGCCGGGCGUAGUCGAAAGCCUCGUUUAUCAACGUAACAUUGUUUAAACCUGUUUGAUUUGUGCGGGUACAAAACGAGGCCGGCCUCCUUGGAGGGAUUUGAUUAAAUGCUGCACAAAAGCAUUACCUAAGCAAGAACGGAUUGUCGCCAUUCGCGGAGUGCACUGUGCAACACGGUAAUCCAGUUAAGAUUUUCUAUACGUUCGUGGCGCAACUCGUGUAUCCAUCCAAUGAUCGUCGAUUCCCGAUCAAGUACCUUUUUGCACGCGAGCUGUGACGAAGUCCGACGAGAUUCUAAAGAAGAAAGCGUCUCGACUGGAUAAAGAACGAAAUGCGAGAGAAACGAGCGACAGGCCGAUUACGAGUUCAAAGUUCAGCCAAUUUAACCAAGUUGACGUCACGGACACUCGUCCACCACAGUUGGCACACGUUUCGCCUCGAGGCAAACGAAACGAGCGGGAAAAAUAUUAAACGGGAAUACGCGUUUUCGGUCGAGCCGAUACUCUCCAUUAACCCUUCGAAUAACCAACAAUUGUGGUUAAUUUACGCCUCUUUCUCUCAAUCUCUCAUCAUCGAAACAUUAAAAUAACGAAACGCGAGUUUCAUCCCCCGAGUUUUACUCGUAAAUUCAUCAUCUUCCCCGUUACUUAUUCAGUUAAUGAAUUCGAUUAAAAACUCGACGAAUUAGAUUGAACAAGAACGAAAAGUGAGAAUCGCGUAUAAUGUUCGGGGAGAAUUACGCACAACCGUGAAACUUGAACCGAUCGUCGAGGCGCUCGAGCAACUAAUUUAAUACUUAUUCUCAACGCGGAGAGAAGGAAGAAAAGGAAUUUCGCCGAGAAUUCGCGAAAAGGGGUGUGUUUAUUACGGUCUGGGGACGGCCCUUUAUAAACAACGUAGUUAUGCGCGUUAAGAUACGAAUGGUGGCUACGUGAUAACCUUGUAGCGGAAAAGGGGGAUAAAAGCAGGGGAGAGAAAAUGAUGUAACGGAACGAUGAAAAGCGAAAGUAUUUCGUACGUUGCAUCGAGUUUCAGAAUAUAAAAUAAGAAAAGAAUAUUAAAGAUAUCGUUCGAUAUUUGUAUCGAUAAUCAUUCGUCUUCAAAUUCAAUCGAUUUAAAUAAAACAGUGAGAUUAUUCUUCAAAUUCA